AAAUGAGACUUUUGGCCUUAAAAAAUCCACAAAGUCAGAACAUAUUUUGGGUACACCAGACUAUUUGGCGCCAGAACUUUUGCUGGGAUUGCCGCACAGCUACCCCGUGGAUUGGUGGGCGUUGGGUAUAUGCGGUUAUGAAUUUCUUACUGGCUGUCCUCCCUUCAACGGGCCGUCAAUAAGAGACAUAUUUCAAAAAAUUAUUCAGCAUGAUCUUCAUUGGCCGGAAGAUAUCAAUUGUAGUGCUAAUGCCGUCCAUUUAAUUGAGAGUUUACUUCACGUGGACCCAACACAAAGAUUGUCGGCCAAUGAAAUUAAACACCAUAUAUUCUUCAAUAAAAUCGAUUUUAGUCGCAUUUUAGAGGGUAGCGGACCUUUUGUUCCUUCAGUGGCAGACAG